rfam:Gasterosteus aculeatus cont1.008695, whole genome shotgun sequence.
ACAAAGGCUCUUUUAAGAGCCACCCACUUCUAAAGACCAUUUCGAU